rnacentral:rRNA from 1 species
UACGUAGGAUGCAAGCGUUGUCCGGAAUUAUUGGGCGUAAAGAGCGCGCAGGCGGUAUGACAAGUCAGAUGUGAAAGAGGCCGGCUUAACCGGCAAGGGUCAUUUGAAACUGUCAGACUAGAGUGCAGCAGAGGAUAGUGGAAUUCCCGGUGUAGUGGUGAAAUGCGUAGAUAUCGGGAGGAACACCAGUGGCGAAGGCGACUAUCUGGCUGCAACUGACGCUGAGGCGCGAAGGCUAGGGUAGCAAACAGG